GACGAACGCUGGCGGCGUGCCUAAUACAUGCAAGUCGAACGAACUCUGGUAUUGAUUGGUGCUUGCAUCAUGAUUUACAUUUGAGUGAGUGGCGAACUGGUGAGUAACACGUGGGAAACCUGCCCAGAAGCGGGGGAUAACACCUGGAAACAGAUGCUAAUACCGCAUAACAACUUGGACCGCAUGGUCCGAGUUUGAAAGAUGGCUUCGGCUAUCACUUUUGGAUGGUCCCGCGGCGUAUUAGCUAGAUGGUGAGGUAACGGCUCACCAUGGCAAUGAUACGUAGCCGACCUGAGAGGGUAAUCGGCCACAUUGGGACUGAGACACGGCCCAAACUCCUACGGGAGGCAGCAGUAGGGAAUCUUCCACAAUGGACGAAAGUCUGAUGGAGCAACGCCGCGUGAGUGAAGAAGGGUUUCGGCUCGUAAAACUCUGUUGUUAAAGAAGAACAUAUCUGAGAGUAACUGUUCAGGUAUUGACGGUAUUUAACCAGAAAGCCACGGCUAGCUACGUGCCAGCAGCCGCGGUAAUACGUAGGUGGCAAGCGUUGUCCGGAUUUAUUGGGCGUAAAGCGAGCGCAGGCGGUUUUUUAAGUCUGAUGUGAAAGCCUUCGGCUCAACCGAAGAAGUGCAUCGGAAACUGGGAAACUUGAGUGCAGAAGAGGACGGUGGAACUCCAUGUGUAGCGGUGAAAUGCGUAGAUAUAUGGAAGAACACCAGUGGCGAAGGCGGCUGUCUGGUCUGUAACUGACGCUGAGGCUCGAAAGUAUGGGUAGCAAACAGGAUUAGAUACCCUGGUAGUCCAUACCGUAAACGAUGAAUGCUAAGUGUUGGAGGGUUUCCGCCCUUCAGUGCUGCAGCUAACGCAUUUAGCAUUCCGCCUGGGGAGUACGGCCGCAAGGCUGAAACUCAAAGGAAUUGACGGGGGCCCGCACAAGCGGUGGAGCAUGUGGUUUAAUUCGAAGCUACGCGAAGAACCUUACCAGGUCUUGACAUACUAUGCAAAUCUAAGAGAUUAGACGUUCCCUUCGGGGACAUGGAUACAGGUGGUGCAUGGUUGUCGUCAGCUCGUGUCGUGAGAUGUUGGGUUAAGUCCCGCAACGAGCGCAACCCUUAUUAUCAGUUGCCAGCAUUAAGUUGGGCACUCUGGUGAGACUGCCGGUGACAAACCGGAGGAAGGUGGGGAUGACGUCAAAUCAUCAUGCCCCUUAUGACCUGGGCUACACACGUGCUACAAUGGAUGGUACAACGAGUUGCGAACUCGCGAGAGUAAGCUAAUCUCUUAAAGCCAUUCUCAGUUCGGAUUGUAGGCUGCAACUCGCCUACAUGAAGUCGGAAUCGCUAGUAAUCGCGGAUCAGCAUGCCGCGGUGAAUACGUUCCCGGGCCUUGUACACACCGCCCGUCACACCAUGAGAGUUUGUAACACCCAAAGUCGGUGGGGUAACCUUUUAGGAACCAGCCGCCUAAGGUGGGACAGAUGAUUAGGGUG
rnacentral:rRNA from 1 species